UAGGGAAUUUUCGUCAAUGGGCGCAAGCCUGAACGAGCGAUGCCGCGUGAGUGAAGAAGGCCUUCGGGUCGUAAAGCUCUGUUGCGGGGGAAAAAAGGCAGCAUCAGGAAAUGGGUGCUGACUGUAUGGUGCCCCGCCAGAAAGUCACGGCUAACUACGUGCC
rnacentral:rRNA from 1 species